AAAAAAAGCUUUGCUAUGGUCCGCAAUGAUUUGGAAAAAUAGAGGGAAACUUCUGAUCCUCUAUCACUUAAGGAAAUCUUUGUGGCUACAAGAAAAAGAAAAUCUAGUCGAUCAUACAAGGAUACAGAUGAAGAUACAACUAGAAAAAUUGCUAAGAUGGAGAAUAUUGAAAUGCAACAAAGUGAAGAUGGUAAUGAGUCGAUUAAUGCAUUUGUAUCCGUUAUGGGACCUGAACAUUCAGGACUUUUGAGAUUGUAUGGACGAGGGGUUACAAAAACUACUUUAAAGGGGAAAGUGGGACAUUUCGACCCUCCUUAACUGCAACAAAUGAUCUCGUGCAAAAGAUGGAAGAGAGGAUGAUAAGAUUAAUGGAGGAAAAACUUGAGGAACAAAAGGAACAAUUUGAGGAACAAAAGACCACGAUGAGACAAGAAAUUGCAGAAGAUUUCAUAACAAAGAUUCAACGUUCCGGAUUACCAAUCGAUGCUAAAGUUUUAGCAACACUGGUUGAAGCUUUCUCAACAUGAGCACCAGCUACUCAGCUAACUCAUCGUCCUUCUAGUGGUAGCAACAAUCAAGGUCAGAGUCCUUUUUCAUUUCAUUUUGCUUCUACUUCUUCUGCUGCUUCUACUUUUUCUUUUUUGCUGGUACUGUUGCGACUUGGAUCUUCUUCUUGGUUUUUGUUAGUUUAAAGAAAAAGGCUUUGCUGCUAUUGGGGAAAAAGGGUUAUAUUUUUUAGUUUA